GUUCUAUUAGUAUUAAAUAGUACAACUGACUUCCAAUCAGUUAGUUCCAGCACAAACCCGGAAUAGAACA
rnacentral:tRNA from 1 species